rnacentral:rRNA from 1 species
UACAGAGGGUGCGAGCGUUGUUCGGAAUUACUGGGCGUAAAGCGCGCGCAGGCGGCUCUUUAAGUCUCGUGGUCAAAUGCCGGGGCUCAACCCCGAGCGUGCCGGGGAUACUGGAGGGCUGGAGACAGGUAGAGGCAAGCGGAAUUCCGGGUGUAGCGGUGGAAUGCGUAGAGAUCCGGAAGAACACCGGAGGCGAAGGCGGCUGCUGGACCUGGUCUGACGCUGAGGCGCGAAAGCGUGGGGAGCGAACAGG